rnacentral:sRNA from 1 species
GUUUUUGUGACGCCGUUUGUUUAUCAACAGGCUUUUACAGGUCUGACAGAUAUAGCCUGGCCCUUUAAAUCCAGGAGGACGUCACCGAGAGAGAGAGAAUCAGCGAGCUUGAGGUUCCUGGAUAUUGACACAGUCACUGUACGGUUGGGUGUAUACACACCUGAGCAGAAAGACUAGGCAAGUUGGAAUAUCCAUACAUCUUGGCGCCAGCGGUGCUAAUAUUACGACAAUCUAACAAGUCUGUGUACUUACGCAUCUUGCGGCACUCCUGCAUACAUUGUGACCCGUCUAUGUUGUAAAUAGCAAAAAUUAAGAUUAUUUAACAAAUAUCUGUCAAAUAUAUGACAAUCUGGUCU